AUUUUUUUAUAAUUAAAUAAAAAUGAAUUAUAUAUAAACAUAAUAAAUUAAUAAUAAAAAAAGUUAAAAAAUAAAGUAAAUUAAUAAAAUAUUUUUUAAUAGCGUGCCAGCAAAAAGCGGUUAAACGAUUAAUUUAAAUUAAAUCAAAAAAAAAACUAAAUAAAAAAUUUAUGUAUGUAUAUUAUAGUAAAAUAUAAAUAUAAUAUUAAUUAAAAGAGUUAAUAAUUAAAAACAAAUUAAUUGGAUUAGAUACCCAAAUAAAAUUACUUUAAAGUAUUAAACUAAUAAAGUGAAACUAGAAAUUUUUGGCGGUAAAAUAUUUUAAUUAAAGGGUCUUGAUUUUUAAUAGAAAGUACACAAUAAAAAAAACUUUAGUUAUAAAUUUAUAUAUCUCCGUAAAAAAAAUAUUUAUUUAUAAAACAAAAAAAAUUUUUAUAUACAGGUCAAGAUAUAAUUUAAACCAAAGAAAAAUUUAGACACAAAAUAUAAAUUAAAUUAAAAAAGAAUUUAAAAGUAAUUCUUUUUAUUAAAAAAAAAUGAAAUAAUUAUUUUAUGUACAUAUUGCCCAUCACUUUCAUUUUAAAAUGAAAUAAGUUGAAACAUAGUAGAAAUAUAAGAAUAUGUUUCUAA
rnacentral:rRNA from 1 species